CCCCGUCUUCAAUUGUCCAUACUCCAAAUGUCCAGCCCUGGGCGUGUGGGAGGGUGUUGGAGUCCCACAUUAGUGGGUUAAAGUGUCCUGGGUCUCCUUAUAUGGUCUUGGGAAAUCCUCCCCUUAUGAGCUAGCUUUUGAGGUUGAGUUAGACCCAAGGUCCAUUUUUUUAUCAUGGUAUCAGAGCCCGGCCCACCUAGUUCAUUAUUUCUGACUUUAGGCCCCCGUCUUAUAUUGUCCAUGCUCCAGAUAUCCAGUCUUGGGCCUGUGUGUGUGUGUGGGGGGGGGUGUUGGAGUCCCGCAUCAGUAGGUUAAAGAAUCCUUGGUCUCCUUAUAAGGUCUUGGGCAAUCCUCCCCUCAUGAGCUAGCUUUUGAAGUUAAGU
rnacentral:lncRNA from 1 species